rnacentral:rRNA from 1 species
AACGAACGUUAGCGGCGCGCUUAACACAUGCAAGUCGAACGAGAAAGGGGCUUCGGCCCUGAGUACAGUGGCGCACGGGUGAGUAACACGUGGGUAAUUUACCUUCUGGCGGGGGACAACAACUCGAAAGGGUUGCUAAUACCGCAUAAGUCCGCGCAAGCGGGGAAAGGCGGCGAAAGCUGUCACCAGAGGAUGAGCCCGCGGCCCAUCAGCUAGUUGGUGAGGUAACGGCCCACCAAGGCUCCGACGGGUAGCUGGUCUGAGAGGAUGAUCAGCCACACUGGAACUGAGACACGGUCCAGACUCCUACGGGUGGCUG